GUCUAUGGCCAUGCCGCCCUGAACACGCCUGAUCUCAUCUGAUUUCGGAAGCUAAGCAGGGUUGGACCUGGUUAGUACUUGGAUGGGAGACCACCUAGGAAGGUGGUCUACCAGGUGCUGUAGACG
rnacentral:rRNA from 1 species